rnacentral:misc_RNA from 1 species
AAAUUUGUGAGUAAAGGCUGCGCAUGUCACAGUACGUGGAUAGUUAGCUGGGGGUGGCUGUCAGCCAGAUCUGGCUACAUUUUGCUUGAAGGACAGUCAACAAUUAGUUAGGCUGAAAUGAAGAUUCAAGUUUCGCUGCUGUUGGUGGCUAUCUCUUUGGCAGCUUCAGGUCGAGGCGAGACGACCACAACACGUGGGGGUGAAUCAACUACAACUGGCACAACAGAAAGCUCAGGAAAGGAAGGCGGGAAACCAGGAGGAAAUGGUCGAGGCGAGACGACCAUAACACGUGGGGGUGAAUCAACUACAACUGGCACAACAGAAAGCUCAGGAAAGGAAGGCGGGAAACCAGGAGGAAAUGGUCGAGGCGAGACGACAACAAGUGGGGAUGAAGCAACUACAACUGGCACAACAGAAAGCUCAGGAAAGGAAGGCGGGAAACCAGGAGGAAAUGCAAAAGGAGAUAACAUGACGACAACAGGAUCACCAGAUAACUCAAAUCCGACAAAUCCUGGAGAUCCGACCAAUCCCAAGGAUCCAUCAAAUCCUGGGGAUCCGACAAAGCCCACGGAUCCAUCAAAUCCUGGGGAUCCGACAAAGCCCACGGAUCCAUCAAAUCCUGGAGAUCUGACAAAGCCCACGGAUCCAUCAAAUCCUGGGGAUCCGACAAAGCCCAAGGAUCCAUCAAAUCCUGGGGAUCCGACAAAGCCCACGGAUCCAUCAAAUCCUGGAGAUCCGACAAAGCCCACGGAUCCAUCAAAUCCUGGAGAUCCGCCAAAGCCCACGGAUCCAUCAAAUCCUGGGGAUCCGACAAAUCCCACGGAUCCAUCAAAUCCUGCAGUUCCGCCAAAGCCCACGGAUCCAUCAAAUCCUGGAGACCCGACAAAGCCCACGGAUCCAUCAAAUCCUGGAGAUCCGCCAAAGCCCACGGAUCCAUCAAAUCCUGGAGAUCCGCCAAAGCCCACGGAUCCAUCAAAUCCUGGGGAUCCGACAAAUCCCACGGAUCCAUCAAAUCCUGGAGAUCCGCCAAAGCCCACGGAUCCAUCAAAUCCUGGGGAUCCGACAAAUCCCACGGAUCCAUCAAAUCCUGCAGUUCCGACAAACCCCAAGGAUCCAUCAAGUCCUGGAGACCCGACAAAUCCCAAGGAUCCAUCAAACCCUGGAGAUCCGACAAAUCCCACGGAUCCAUCAAAUCCUGCAGUUCCGACAAAUCCCAAGGAUCCAUCAAAUCCUGACGUAUCCACAGAAAAGACUCCGAAAGAGGGCAAGUUGAAUAAAAAAACUCUCAUCAUGGCAGUUGUAUUUGGGGGUACUGCCGCUGUUGUAACUGCCGUUGUGUUGGUAAUGGCGGUAAAGGCCGUCAUUACGGCAGGAAUGGGAGGAGGAGCAAAGGUAGCAGGUGCAGCGGGGGCAGCUUGAUAGAUCUCGCACCUGCACUUAUGCUGCAUUAGCACAUUAAUAUGUUCAUAUGUAUGUUAAAUAUUCAGGAUUUUUCAUAUCUUGCUGUAGCGGCAUGUUUGUCUCAGACGCCGUACUCCAUUGUGGCUUGGCGUGACUUUCACCGUCUCGGGAAGAAUAUGGUUAUGCGUAUCCAUUGUUUGCAUACGUAAGGAAAAGCACAUCAUUGAAAGAACUGCAAAUAAAACCGAUAAAACCAUUUCCAUAAUCAUAACAAAUCGUAAGGAAUGUUGCACCUGUCCGUUAGAUUAGCAAUGGUGCAAUCAAAGAGGAUAUAUGAUCCAGGGCCCCGUUACACAAAGCCAUCUUAGCGCUAAGGUGAUGGUAACUCCCAUACUUUAACACUGGCUUACGAUAGUCGUAGCGCUAAGAUAGCUUUAUGGAGCGGUGCCCUGGAGUGGUGGCUUUCAGUUUUCCGUUAUGUUUGACCUUACACAGAAAUGUAGUAUUGCAGUACAACUACAUGGAACUAUUUUUAAGUUGAUCAUAUUGAACAGAUUGGUUUUGCACGAUUCGCUUGUUUUGAUCAUAAUAGUAAAUCUAAACACUUCUUUUACAUUGCUGAUAAGACAAAUAUUUUUCCAUACAACGAAUUCGUUUGGCUGUUUAAUAUUUUGUACAGUUUUGUGUUCUGGCUACACAAGUGCCUUACGAGUUGUAUGCUGUUAUAUGCUGGUUACCAGGUACAUCUCUAAUAAGGACAUUUCAGGUGACCAGUUAAAACAACAUGGCCGCCUGGCAAUUGUCUGUCUUUAUCGGCGUCACCUGUAAACAUAUUCUCCUCUGCAACCAAUGGACCCACGAAACCGCAUCUGGGAUUUAGUUUUGUAGAGACAUACAUUUGAAAGCGUUUCUGGACAAUUAAAUAAAAUCAACUGAUUAAAGGCUGUUAUAAGGCACAGAGUUGAAACUUAAGUUCUGCAUUGCGAUAGUGUUAUACAAAUGUAACAGUGAGGUGAUGUGAAAUGGGGUUUAAUAGCGUCCAAUAGUAUUGCAAUUUUAUAGCGACGUGCAUGCACGUGUGUGUAGCUGCUUGCACUCGUCCAGACUAAUGCCGAUUUUAUAGUGCUAGCCCACUGAGGUACCAUGCCGCAGUUGAACAUGAAUACCCCACUCAGACACUGUAUACUGAAUCCAGACCGAAUAUUAUUUUUAACAAGUACCAUGUUUUAAUGUCUGUUGGGUUUGAGGCGGCCGAGGUUCGAAACCCCGGACCUUCCCCUCUCCGGGCGGACGAUCUACCACUAGAACACGGAGGCGGGAGAAACCCUUGUACUAUAAUAAUAAUAAUAAUAAUAAUAAUAAUAAUAAUAAUAAUAAUAAUAGAAACCUUAACAUACUUGUUUCGUAUUUGUCCAUUCAUCCUCAAUGUUCAUUCAAAGAUUUGCAUUGAUGUCUCGGUGAGGUUUAGUGACAAAGUCGACACAAUUUAUGGAUAACAGCUUCUUUAUUCUACUGUAAUAAAGUAUACUGCUAUUACAGUAUUAUUAACAAGUUAUUGUGUCUACGUUGCAAUCCGUAAACUUCAAAGAAAUGCCUAUCCAACAACUCAGCACGUCAAUAGUGAUUUGGCACGUUGUUUUUAUUUGUCACCAAAAAUAUAUGUACGUCUUUCAAAGCCCGGGAAACAUUUUCCCUUUAAUGUAUGCAUUGCUAUACCAAGGAAAGUAAGAGAGCCCAUCGCAGGAACUAACUGCUUCGUUCAAUAAAGAUGAUUUACAUAACAUUAGAUAUUUGAAUGUUCCCCGUAUAUACGUUCCCUUAAUUGACGCCAUCAGUAUAUAUAGGUGGGAUUUACUUAAAACGAUUUACCAAUUUGGUAAUUAUACAUCACUUCAAUGGAUGCUACACGGGGAGACAUAUGUAACCUUCACAUUAACAGUUUUCUCACAGAAAUAUCGAUCCUUUCAAAGAGAUAUUCACUUGAAAUACGGCAAACAGAUUCUCAUGCUAAUGCUUUUUGCACUCAGUACAUGUCUAUUCGUUUUGACAAAUGGAAGCUGUCCUUCCAUAAAGGUAGAUACAAUCGAGCAACACCUAUAUUUCUACAGUGUGUUUGAGUGAAAGAGUCGGGGGAAGAACCCCGCUUUGAACAUAACGUCAGUAACAUCAGAAGCUUCAAAGUAUUUCAGGUGGCAGAUCUUUAUUACUUAUGACACCAAUUCAGGCGUCUUUUAUGUUAACAGACGAAUUAGGUCGAAUCUGAUAUAUCAACAUUCCCGUGGAUUCUGGUGUGUAAGUUUUGUGACAGUAACAUCGACUUCUGGCAGCCGCUGAUUCAGGUACUGGUGCACUAGUUUAGACCGGUUAACCGUGAAGGUGCACUAUAUCAGACUGGUCAACGGUGAAGAUGAACUCGUUUAGACUUGUUGAGUGUGAAGGUGAACUAGUUUAGACCGGUUAACCGUGAAUGUACAUUAUAUCCGACGGGACUAGUUCCCCCGAGAGCACUGUAAAGAACUAAACGUUGGAAUUACGUGGUGAUCGAAUAACCCGCAGGUGUCCCAGCUCAGUCGGGACAAAAACAACUCCUCGGGCAUUGAGUAAGGAUUCAUGAUCGACUUAGUUGCCGUUACAACAUGUGUAAACAGAUCAAAGAUGACAUGUUGAUCGGCACUGGUGUAAAACAAAUAAUACAUUGUGCUGGUAUUUUAAAUGAGUCAUACUCUGAUAAAUCCCCCAUCUUGGUGUUAUGCAACCUAUAACAUUAGUUGAGUUUGUCACACGCGUGGAGCAAAGCAGAACUAUAUUUUGUGAAAUGUUAGAAAUCCUCUACUUUGUUCACAUUUAAUUGUUGUCAUAGUGUAGCUGGAUGGGUAGGUAGUUGUUCACUAUCAUGUGGUCUAAUUGUUUUAUUUAAUGUUUUUAUUCAAAUUGUGAUAAGAAAGCUCAGUGUGAUAUCUCCUUUAUAUGCUUGUAAAAUAUCGCAAUUUUGAAGGUAAGGCGAAUAUUUUGUCAGGAAGCUCAAUCAGUAAACUAUACAGAAAUUAUAUUUUGUGAUAUAAUCACCAUGACUCACAUAAAACGCAAAUGUUUACAAGCUAUGAUUCAAUGCCUGUUGAUUUGUUACAAAUUAAUUGUUACUCUUCUAUAUAAUUGUGCAUUAAACACUAUAAACACAGA